rnacentral:rRNA from 1 species
UGAGGAAUCUUCCACAAUGGGCGCAAGCCUGAUGGAGCAACGCCGCGUGCAGGACGACGGCCUUCGGGUUGUAAACUGCUUUUGUCUGUGACGAAUAUGACGGUAGCAGACGAAUAAGGACCGGCUAACUACGUGCCAGCAGCCGCGGUAAUACGUAGGGUCCAAGCGUUAUCCGGAAUUACUGGGCGUAAAGGGUACGUAGGUGGAAUUUUAAGUGGGACGCGAAAUCCUGUGGCUCAACCACACGGACUGUGUUCCAAACUGGGAUUCUUGAGGAUGGCAGAGGUUAGUGGAAUUACCGGUGUAGCAGUGAAAUGCGUAGAUAUCGGUAGGAACACCAAUGGCGAAGGCAGCUAACUGGGCCACACCUGACACUGAGGUACGAAAGCGUGGGGAGCGAACAGG